AAAUCCGUCGACUUUUAAAAUCGUGAGGG
rnacentral:tRNA from 1 species